rnacentral:rRNA from 1 species
AAUGAACGCUGGCGGCAUGCCUAAUACAUGCAAGUCGAACGAGACCUUCGGGUCUAGUGGCGCAUGGGUGCGUAACGCGUGGGAACAUGCCCUUAGGUUCGGAAUAACUAUCCGAAAGGGGUGCUAAUACCGGAUAAUGUCUUCGGACGAAAGAUUUAUCGCCUUUGGAUGGGCACGAGUUGGAUUAGCUAGUUGGUAGGGUAAAAGCAUACCAAGGCGACGAUCCAUAGCUGGUCUGUGAGGAUGAUCAGCCACUCUGGGACUGAGACACGGCCCAGACUCCUACGGGAGGCAGCAGUGCCGAAUAUUGCACCAUCGGCGGAAGCCUGAUCCAGUUAUGCCGCGUGAGUGCUGAAGGCCUUAGGGUUGUAAAGCUCUUUUACCCGUGAUGAUAAUGACGGUACCGGGACAAUAAGCUCCGGCUAACUCCGUG